rnacentral:rRNA from 1 species
GACGAACGCUGGCGGCGUGCUUAACACAUGCAAGUCGAACGCUGAAGCUUGGUGCUUGCACUGGGUGGAUGAGUGGCGCACGGGUGAGUAAUACGUGAGUAACCUGCCCUUGACUCUGGGAUAAGCCUGGGAAACUGGGUCUAAUACUGGAUACGACAUGUCACCGCAUGGUGGCGUGUGGAAAGGGUUUUACUGGUUUUGGAUGGGCUCACGGCCUAUCAGCUUGUUGGUGGGGUAAUGGCUCACCAAGGCGACGACGGGUAGCCGGCCUGAGAGGGUGACCGGCCACACUGGGACUGAGACACGGCCCAGACUCCUACGGGAGGCAGCAGUGGGGAAUAUUGCACAAUGGGCGAAAGCCUGAUGCAGCGACGCCGCGUGAGGGAUGACGGCCUUCGGGUUGUAAACCUCUUUCAGCACGGAAGAAGCGAAAGUGACGGUACGUGCAGAAGAAGCGCCGGCUAACUACGUG